rnacentral:lncRNA from 1 species
CUGAUUUUACUGGUAUGUACAACCGUUCGAUAGAAAGUUCAAUCAGGAAGGGGAAGCUUGAUUUGCAAUUGCGUUGUAGCCUGUCCUUUGAAUUAUUAUUUCAAUAUUGCAGAGUUGCCCAUGGGGAUUUUGAACCUUGCAAUUGUGAUUCCACAGGCAUGUAUAUUUCACCUAUUCUCUCAACACAUCUUUUACAGCAUGAUGACUUCUUUUGAUGAUUUUUGAAUUUGGUUAAUGAUAAGACAUUCAACCCUUUUCUAAAUAAACUAGCAUCUAGUAAUAUAUAUAUAUAUAUUCUCAAGUUUAUAAAUUCAAGUUUGACAAUCAAGCAAAAACUUCCCCAUGAUAUUAUAAAGCUACUCUGUGAAGAAAUUCAUCAAGACCAAUUUCCAACUAUGAAACACAAAGUAGCUAUUUUUGCCUUUCAUAUGAUAAGGUUGAGUGUAUGGAUCACUAUUUGGGUUGAGUAAGAAAUAUCACACAUAUUAUGAGAAUGUUCACCAUUCUUACUAGUCUGAGAGAAGUAAAUAAAAGAAUCAAAUAACUCCAUCUCCAAAAUAGGAUUAAAAUUUGGUAACAUUCACUUUAUACAAUUGUUUUUCUGGGAAUGUCAACCAUAUAAAAUAAUGUCAAAUUGUAUGACCAUGAUUAUCCAUGUGCCAGUUAUUUUCGAUAAUGAAGAUGCUAAGUGUGAAGUUGCUGAGAGUGGACCUUUGUGGAUGUUUCUUUUUAUUUUUACUAAAGCUACUCUAGAAUGACUUUUUUAUAGUGAUUUGUAACAUUUCUAAAAGUAUUUUGCUGGUUGGGCUUUUGAGCCAUCCCAUCUAACACUUUACUCUAAGAGAGGGUCAUGUUUAUGUAUUCAAAUUUAACCUCUAAUGUGCCCCUCAAUUAUAGGCCAUACUUAUUUUUUAAUAAAUUAGAUGCUAAAAGGACACACAGCACCACAAAGUAACAAAACCCUCUCUUUCUUUCUGCUCAGUGUUGUCUAGUUUUCAGUGCCAUUUCUUUCCUAUGAAUUUUCAAUUUUCUGGUUCAGCAAUUUAAGCUAAUGUAGCAAAGAGGGAGGUCCACUAACCGAAGAUCAAGGACUUUUUUUAGAUCACGCAUCGCCAUUGUUAAAUUGAAAUCAUAAGAAAUUUAUCUGCCAUUUUAGUAAUAACCAUAUUUUGCCAUGGACGCCAUUAUAGGUAUUGAUUAAUUUACAUUCUUUAAUUAGAUGCUAAAAGACUGCAGUCAAGAAUGUAAAUUGAGGUUUGAUAGCAAAAGGACAACAUGUGCAAAUAUGUUACGUGAACAGUCCAAUGCAAGAGAAGACAAUUUAGCCUUUACUUAAUAUGAGAGAAGAAAAUCAAAAAGAAAACCUAAGCUCGUCCCUUGGAAAAGCAGCAACAACUGUUGAAAAUAAGAUUUCAUUGGUUUGAUGAAUUUGAUAAGAAGGCCAAAAGAGAUGCCUUAACAAGGUGAGAUUCAUUCACUAAAUCUCACCAAAAACAUCUACCAUAUCUGUUAGUCUGGCUUCUCCAACGAACUUCCCAACCUAGGAAGAUAUGUCCACCAACAGACAACAAAAACCAAACCAGCAAGAUUAGAAACAAAUCGUCAAUAGCUUUUCAUGGCUAGAUACACCUCCCUAGGAUGGACCAUGUAGUUAAUGACAGUCCCGUGAUCCAUGGGUUGAACCGACACUCUGCCUACAGAUGAAGGUAGAUACUAACCUAUCAAAAUUCGGUGCGCUAUAGGACAUUAACAGAUGUUAAGGAAUUUAACGUGGUAGAAUGGACUCUCUUCUAGGCAGGUUAUGAUGCAAAACAAGAACCAAAGAAGAAUCUAUGAACAACAUCCAGAAGCUUUCGGGACUAGCCCAAACACGAUAUUCAAAUCCACAAUGACUAAAUAAAUAACAAGGCCCAACUAAUCAUGAGAAUCACCAACCUUCAGACUACCCUUAACAUAGGACAAUAGAGGGCACUAUGAAACUAGACAAGAGAAUUGGUCCAUUGUUUGCAGCUAAUUGAAAUGUAUCUUUAGCAAUUCUAACCUAUAAUUAGCAAGUUGUGAAUAACUGAUAAUAUCAAACUAGCUUGAGGGAGAGUUAAAACAUAUGUUGAAACUUCUCUCUCACAUUAAGAUAUUUCCUUCUUGAGAUUCUGAUUUAUUUCAUUGACAGAUUCAUAGGAAAUCAUUUAUGGAAAUACCAUAUGUUGUUUCCUUUGGUUUUCUAGUGUUCAGGAUACUUUAUAAAGCUGGCCAUUGUUGUUUUUUCUGGUUCCACAAUCUCUAUUCUAGCUUCCACGAUCUUUUAUAUAUGUAAUUCUCAUUCUUUUCUACUCAAUAGAUAUUAUUUAGUCUUUUCCACACUACCAAACAUGUCAUAUAAGAUAUUUCUUUCAAUACAAGGUAUGUAUUUUAAGUGAACACCUCAUUGUAGAGCUAUAUAAUGGUUGUUCAAUGUGGCAUUGGAGCAAACAAAGGUCCUUGGCUCGAUGGUUGCCUCAUCUAAUUGUGAUAUUGUUGCUACCACUAGUUGUGAUAAAUAAACAGGCUUGGCCUCGAUAAAAAUGGAUCUCCCAUGUGUAGAGGGACAUAAAUUAUUAAUAUUUGCUAUUCACUAACAACUUGAGUUUUUAUUUGAUGUACCCCAUCAUCCCUCCCCCUCACAUGGAGGAAAUAAAGAGAGCACUUAAAUGUAGAAGAACACCUAUUUAUUAUGGUUAUAGGAUUGCAAGAUCCAUUUCCUUUUAGAUUGGCAUUGUCCCAGUAGGUUUUUAGCUAAGCACAAGUAUUUCUCUUCCCCAGUAUCCUUUUUUCAAAGUAUAACACAAUGUGAAAAAGAAAAAGAAAAAGAAAAUGAUAUAGGUUAACAGAACUUUUAUGCAUUGCAAUGCAGUUAAAACAAACAAAUUUGUUCUCUAUUUGAUGCCCACUUCCUGGGGGUAAACCCUUCUAUUUAACUUAUUGAAUUAUGUUAAGAUGAAAAAUUAAAUGUUGAACUGGUCUAAUAUUUAUAAAAUAUGUGAUGGGUGACAAGGAGCUGAAUAGGAUUCUUAUGAACUUUAACAUCACCAAUCAUUAUUGUUUCCUAUUCCAUGAUUACCAUUCAAAAUGAUGAUGACAAAAAUAGGUAAGAGCUAAAAGUUUUACAAAAUAGACAUGCAAGGAGUAUAAUGUUCUAUUGUCCAGCUUAUAUGUUUGAAGAUGCGUCGAAAAUUAAUUUUCUGCAUUAUGUAAGGAAAUUUGGAUGAUGUGCUAUCAAGCAUAUUCAUAUUAAACAUUUUUAGAAUGUUCCUAUUUAAACCUUAUAACAGGAAAUGGAUACAAUUUAAAUCUUGGUUAACCUGCCUGUCUAAGAUGUGUAUAGCUAGAUAUUAUAGUCUUUAUAUCUGUUUGUGUCUUAAUAUAUAAGGACCCUGUACAGAUAACUAAGCUGUGGUUGAAAGAGGCUAUUCAACUCAAUAGAUUCUUUGUGCGCAAAAUGCCAAAUCAGGAUUGAGGAUUGUGGCUGCAUGUUGCACACCAUGAGUUGCACAGAAUCAGAGGCAUAUUCAUGACCAUUGUAGUGGAGGUGCUGUAUGGCUAAACAUCAUGGAAAGGAUUAGCUUUCAUCUCAAGACUAGCUUUCAUAUCACAAUUCUAAUUUCUUAAGAUUAGUGUACUUAUUGCUAUGAUAAGCUGCUUGUAACUGGGAUUUAUCCAAAAGAAAAUACUAUUUCUUUAAUUAUGUCGCUGCCCCUUAGUGAUAUAACAAUGUCGUUCCUGUCAUUGUGGUUGCUGGCUAGUAUUUCAGAACCACGGUUUUUCAAGGACUUGUCUUCAUACUCUGGUUGGUGGUAAGAAGGCUUGAUUUUAUGAAAGUUUGACUUUAUAACUUGUUCUCUUUUACUUUUGCUUGCAUCUUAACUUUGGAAUAAAUUCUUGUUUUAGUGCACUUAUCAGUAUCUAUAAAAGUUGUUUUCUCUUCUAUGCCACUCUGAUGUCUGUUUCCAUGCAGAAAAGAUAUAAAAUGCAUUUUGGGACAUAUAGAAUUAUCAUUUUAAAUUUUGUUGGAAUUUAGAUAGAAUGAUUUGGAAUUUAGAUAGAAUGACUGCUGGACAGAAUUACCAGAACAAAGUUUUGUAUCUUAAUAUAUUGUUAAUAUGGUUCUCCACUAGAUUUUACAUAUAUGACUUGUAAAUUUUGCAGGUGUAAUUCUUUUCUAAAAUCAAGUACUACUUAAUGCAUUUUAUAAUUUUGAUGAAGGGAGAGAGGAUAAUAUGAGAACGUCAUCAUUUCUAGAAGAAAUUGUAAAUUAGAAUUCUUGAUCUUUUUUUUCUUUGGUAUUUUUACAGAACCAAUACUACUGAAGGACAUUCGUAUUUUAAUAGUAAAAAAUAAUAAUAAUAAAAAAAAUAAAAAAAUAUAAUAAUAAUAAUUAUAAUAAUAAUCUUACUGGAGGACAUUCAAUAAUUUUAAUGAUCAUACUAGAAUAUAACAUGUGAUGCUGCUUAAAUUUUGCUUGCAAUUCAGUUCAAGAAUUAUUGUGCACAUCGUAAAUUUUUAUUACUAAAUUCUGAUGGCACCAGCUAUUCUAUAAACUCCAAUUUCCUAUUUAUGAUAGCAGAUUCCUGUUGAAGGCUCAUCAAUUUGAUUCUGCCUUUAGAUCAAAAUACAGAGAACGUGUAUGCAAAAGCAUGAUAGAAUAUAAUAUGUGAUGCUGCUUAGAUUUUGCUUGUAAUUCAGUUCAAGAAUUGUUGUGUACCGAUAUAUUUUUAUUACUAAAUUCUGAUGGCACCAGCUAUUAUAAACUCCAAUUUCCGAUUUAUGCUAGCAGAUUCCUGUUGAAGGCUUAUCAAUUUGAUUCUGCCUUUACAUCAAAAUACAGAGAACGGAAAAGCAUGAUAGAAUAUAAUAUGUGAUGUUGCUUAAAUUUUGCUUGCAAUUCAGUUCAAGAAUUGGUGUGUACAUCGUAAAUUUUUAUUACCAAAUUAUGAUGGCACCAGCUAUUAUAAACUCCAAUUUCCUAUUUAUGAUAGCGGAUUCCUGUUGAAGGCUCAUCAAUUUGAUUCUGCCUUUAGAUCAAAAUACAGAGAACGUGUAUGGAAAAGCAUGAUAGAAACAGAAAAGUUUUGGACGGUACUGUUACCUGCAUGCAUUUCAGCAGGAUGGGAAAGUGCUAUCUCAACUGCCAACUUAUUGAGCUCUGUGCACACAUGUGGCCUGACACGAUGGAUGACGCGAAUUUUCGAGAUAAUAAUUGUUUUUUCUUGCAUAAAAGAACAAAUGGAGAACAGAUUUUCUUUUCUUUUCCUUUUUUUUUUCCCUUAGUAUUUUCUGACUGUUGCUUAGGGAAAAUAUAUGUACAGAAGUCGAGUGAACUUUUGUUUAAGAGAAUUAUUAUAAAGGGUUCUGUUCUGAUUCUGUUUGCUUUUACAAUUUCAGGUCCCCAUGUUGAGGCAUUCUCAUUCACUGCUGUGAGAAAGGGAUACAAAUUAAAUGGUUAUAAUUGAAGCUCGUACUCAUAUUAUAUAUUGCAGCCAUAUACCAGUUGUUUGAUUCCCUUAAUUAUUGUGCUGUGGUCCUUCACUUUUCCUUCGAGAUGAGUUCUGUUGUUUCUAUUUGGCAGUCUCCCCAUGUAUUUUGUAACACCAUGACAUAUCAGCUCAGCUCUUGUUAGCAACAAAGAAUGCAAAUUUUUUAACAUAGUACAGGAUAAAACCAACCAGAUUUGGCUCUUUUCCCACUUUCUACUUAGUUCAUAUAUCUAUUCUAUCUCAGGAUUGCGAAGCUAGAACUGUUAUAUUUAACACUCGAUUUUGAAGGUACUUAGGGAAUUGUAAAAAACCAACUUAUCGUCAUCCUUCACUUGCUUGAAUAAAUUGAGAAAGUUAAGCCACAAAUCUCCCUGCUGUACCCAAUUUUGUACGCCUUAUGGAGUCAUCUGUUUUCAUAAUAAGACAAGUGAAAACAUAGAGCUAUAUCAGAUGGAUGGGACCUCAAAAGUAAAUUACUUAGUGAAGUAUGUACCUCUACAAACCAAGCAGCAUUUGACAGCUAAAAAUGGGAUCCUAGACAACAAAACCCGUGCUCAGACUGUCCUGCUUCACAUGUGUUGGGACAUGCCAACAUCUUUGCCCUCCCUCUCUCUCUCUCUUUCUCUCUCUCUCUCUCUCUCUCUCUCUCUCUCUCUCUCUCU